rnacentral:rRNA from 1 species
GAACGCUGGCGGCGUGCCUAAUACAUGCAAGUCGAGCGAACGGACGAGAAGCUUGCUUCUCUGAUGUUAGCGGCGGACGGGUGAGUAACACGUGGAUAACCUACCUAUAAGACUGGGAUAACUUCGGGAAACCGGAGCUAAUACCGGAUAAUAUUUUGAACCGCAUGGUUCAAAAGUGAAAGACGGUCUUGCUGUCACUUAUAGAUGGAUCCGCGCUGCAUUAGCUAGUUGGUAAGGUAACGGCUUACCAAGGCAACGAUGCAUAGCCGACCUGAGAGGGUGAUCGGCCACACUGGAACUGAGACACGGUCCAGACUCCUACGGGAGGCAGCAGUAGGGAAUCUUCCGCAAUGGGCGAAAGCCUGACGGAGCAACGCCGCGUGAGUGAUGAAGGUCUUCGGAUCGUAAAACUCUGUUAUUAGGGAAGAACAUAUGUGCAAGUAACUGUGCACAUCUUGACGGUACCUAAUCAGAAAGCCACGGCUAACUACGUG